AGCUCCAAUAGCGUAUAUUAAAGUUGUUGCGGUUAAAAAGCUCGUAGUUGGAUCUCAGUUUAAGUUAAGUGGUCCACUUGCCGGUGGUUACUGCUUAACUUAAACAUUUUACAGACCUGAUUUGUGAUGCUCUUCACCGGGUGUCGCAGGCGAUCUGUACGUUUACUUUGAAAAAAUUAGAGUGCGUAAAGCCGGAAUAAUCUUGCAUGGAAUAAUGGAAUAGGACCUUCAGUUCUAUUUAGUUGGUCUUCGGAACCUGAGGUAAUGAUUAAGAGGGACAGACGGGGGCAUUCGUAUUGCGGCGCUAGAGGUGAAAUUCUUGGACCGUCGCAAGACGAACUACAGCGAAAGCAUUUGCCAAGAAUGUUUUCA
rnacentral:rRNA from 1 species